AACGAACGCUGGCGGUAGGCUUAACACAUGCAAGUCGAGCGCGUAGCAAUACGAGCGGCAGACGGGUGAGUAACGCGUGGGAAUCUACCCAACCCUACGGAAUAACGCAUGGAAACGUGUGCUAAUACCGUAUACGCCCUUUGGGGGAAAGAUUUAUCGGGGAUGGAUGAGCCCGCGUUGGAUUAGCUAGUUGGUGGGGUAAAGGCCUACCAAGGCGACGAUCCAUAGCUGGUCUGAGAGGAUGAUCAGCCACAUUGGGACUGAGACACGGCCCAAACUCCUACGGGAGGCAGCAGUAGGGAAUAUUGGACAAUGGGCGAAAGCCUGAUCCAGCAAUGCCGCGUGAGUGAUGAAGGCCUUAGGGUUGUAAAGCUCUUUUACCCGGGAUGAUAAUGACAGUACCGGGAGAAUAAGCCCCGGCUAACUCCGUGCCAGCAGCCGCGGUAAU
rnacentral:rRNA from 1 species